rnacentral:rRNA from 1 species
GACGAACGCUGGCGGCGUGCCUAAUACAUGCAAGUUGAGCGCUGAAGGUUGGUACUUGUACCAACUGGAUGAGCAGCGAACGGGUGAGUAACGCGUGGGGAAUCUGCCUUUGAGCGGGGGACAACAUUUGGAAACGAAUGCUAAUACCGCAUAAAAACUUUAAACACAAGUUUUAAGUUUGAAAGAUGCAAUUGCAUCACUCAAAGAUGAUCCCGCGUUGUAUUAGCUAGUUGGUGAGGUAAAGGCUCACCAAGGCGAUGAUACAUAGCCGACCUGAGAGGGUGAGCGGCCACAUUGAGACUGAGACACGGCCCAAACUCCUACGGGAGGCAGCAGUAGGGAAUCUUCGGCAAUGGACGAAAGUCUGACCGAGCAACGCCGCGUGAGUGAAGAAGGUUUUCGGUUCGUAAAACUCUGUUGGUAGAGAAGAACGUUGGUGAGAGUGGAAAGCUCAUCAAGUGACGGUAACUACCCAGAAAGGGACGGCUAACUACGUG